rnacentral:rRNA from 1 species
CUUUACACAUGCAAGUCGGACGGCAGCACAGAGAAGCUUGCUUCUUGGGUGGCGAGUGGCGAACGGGUGAGUAACAUAUCGGAACGUACCGAGUAGUGGGGGAUAACUGAUCGAAAGAUCAGCUAAUACCGCAUACGUCUUGAGAGGGAAAGCAGGGGACCUUCGGGCCUUGCGCUAUUCGAGCGGCCGAUAUCUGAUUAGCUAGUUGGUGGGGUAAAGGCCUACCAAGGCGACGAUCAGUAGCGGGUCUGAGAGGAUGAUCCGCCACACUGGGACUGAGACACGGCCCAGACUCCUACGGGAGGCAGCAGUGGGGAAUUUUGGACAAUGGGCGCAAGCCUGAUCCAGCCAUGCCGCGUGUCUGAAGAAGGCCUUCGGGUUGUAAAGGACUUUUGUCAGGGAAGAAAAGGCUGUUGCUAAUAUCAGCGGCUGAUGACGGUACCUGAAGAAUAAGCACCGGCUAACUACGUGCCAGCAGCCGCGGUAAUACGUAGGGUGCGAGCGUUAAUCGGAAUUACUGGGCGUAAAGCGAGCGCAGACGGUUACUUAAGCAGGAUGUGAAAUCCCCGGGCUCAACCUGGGAACUGCGUUCUGAACUGGGUGACUAGAGUGUGUCAGAGGGAGGUAGAAUUCCACGUGUAGCAGUGAAAUGCGUAGAGAUGUGGAGGAAUACCGAUGGCGAAGGCAGCCUCCUGGGAUAACACUGACGUUCAUGCUCGAAAGCGUGGGUAGCAAACAGGAUUAGAUAACCUGGUAGUCCACGCCCUAAACGAUGUCAAUUAGCUGUUGGGCAACUUGAUUGUUCAGUAGCGUAGC